AAUUAUAUACACAUAUACUAAAAAAUUUUAUAAGAAUAAUAAUAAUAAUAAUAUUACAUACGCACAUAUACAAUACUAUCUUAGAAACUAACUUUACAUAAAACAUAUAUAUAAAAAUACAAUGAAACAAUAAUAAAGAUAAGUAUGAUAAUAAAAUAACAAUAAAUUACUUAAAUAAAAAAAUAAAAAAAUAAAUGACCAAAAGGAUUAAAUCACAAACAACAUCGAAUCAAUGGAAAAAAAAAUAAAAUUAAAGAAAAAUAAGAGGACCAGGCUGCAAGACGCGUAUUACAUGAGGGCCUGAUUGGGAAAUAUCCCGCUUCCCCAAAACGCAGUGUUGCAAGCCGGGCCGGAAUGGAACGAAAGCAGAAUGUGGG
rnacentral:lncRNA from 1 species